rnacentral:rRNA from 1 species
GGGCCCGCACAAGCGGUGGAGCAUGUGGUUUAAUUCGACGCUACGCGAAGAACCUUACCAGCCUUUGACAUGUCGACUAUGGUUGCCAGAGAUGGCGACCUUCACCUCGGGUGGGUCGAACACAGGUGCUGCAUGGCUGUCGUCAGCUCGUGUCGUGAGAUGUUGGGUUAAGUCCCGCAACGAGCGCAACCCUUACCUUUAGUUGCCAGCAUUUAGUUGGGCACUCUAGAGGGACUGCCGGUGAUAAGCCGGAGGAAGGUUGGGAUGACGUCAAGUCCUCAUGGCCCUUACAGGCUGGGCUACACACGUGCUACAAUGGCGACUACAGAAGGCAGCGACCUCGCGAGGGGAAGCGAAUCUUAAAAGUCGUCUCAGUUCGGAUUGCACUCUGCAACUCGAGUGCAUGAAUGUUGGAAUCGCUAGUAAUCGCGAAUCAGCAGGUCG